rnacentral:rRNA from 1 species
CAACCUUCCGUUUACUCAGGGAUAGCCUUUCGAAAGAAAGAUUAAUACCUGAUAGUAUGGUGAGAUUGCAUGGUAGCACCAUUAAAGACUUAUUGGUAAACGAUGGGGAUGCGUUCCAUUAGGUAGUAGGCGGGGUAACGGCCCACCUAGCCGACGAUGGAUAGGGGUUCUGAGAGGAAGGUCCCCCACAUUGGAACUGAGACACGGUCCAAACUCCUACGGGAGGCAGCAGUGAGGAAUAUUGGUCAAUGGGCGAGAGCCUGAACCAGCCAAGUAGCGUGAAGGAUGAAGGUCCUACGGAUUGUAAACUUCUUUUAUACGGGAAUAAAGUAUCCUACGUGUAGGAUUUUGUAUGUACCGUAUGAAUAAGCAUCGGCUAACUCCGUGCCAGCAGCCGCGGUAAUACGGAGGAUGCGAGCGUUAUCCGGAUUUAUUGGGUUUAAAGGGAGCGCAGACGGGAGAUUAAGUCAGUUGUGAAAGUUUGCGGCUCAACCGUAAAAUUGCAGUUGAUACUGGUUUCCUUGAGUGCAGUUGAGGCAGGCGGAAUUCGUGGUGUAGCGGUGAAAUGCUCAGAUAUCACGAAGAACUCCGAUUG